GACGAACGCUGGCGGCGUGCUUAACACAUGCAAGUCGAACGGAAAGGCCCUGCUUUUGUGGGGUGCUCGAGUGGCGAACGGGUGAGUAACACGUGAGUAACCUGCCCCUGACUUUGGGAUAACUUCAGGAAACUGGGGCUAAUACCGGAUAGGAGCUCCUGCUGCAUGGUGGGGGUUGGAAAGUUUCGGCGGUUGGGGAUGGACUCGCGGCUUAUCAGCUUGUUGGUGGGGUAGUGGCUUACCAAGGCUUUGACGGGUAGCCGGCCUGAGAGGGUGACCGGGCAAAGUGGGAAAGAGGGAGUGCCAGGACUCGUACUGGAGGCAGGCGGGGGGGCGGGGGAGCACGGGGCGGCGGCCUGAUGCGGCCUCAGCGCGUGAGGAAUGAGGGGUGUCGGGGAGGGAAAAGGAAGCGCCGGGUAAGAAGGAGGAGUGAGGGGCAUGAAUAAAGAAGCACGGACUCACUACGUG
rnacentral:rRNA from 1 species